CUAGCCUUCCUAUCCCUACCUUUCUUCUCUCCUUGUCUUCCUUAAUUCUCUUCCUAGACUCUUGUCCUAAAAUCGGACUUGUCCUUUCUAUUUUUAGACUUAUCCUAAUAAGAGAAGGAAGAGACUAAUUGGAUAAUAGAGAGAAGAUAUUAGAAAGAAAGGAGGAAUUGGAAAUCUGAAUGAAUCCAAUCCCCUAGUGCACCUCCUCUAAAUACUUAGCGAUGGG
rnacentral:lncRNA from 1 species